UUACCUACUCUUGACAUCUACCAGAAGCCAGCGGAGACGCAGGUGUGCCUUCGGGAACUGUAAGACAGGUGCUGCAUGGCUGUCGUCAGCUCGUGUUGUGAAAUGUUGGGUUAAGUCCCGCAACGAGCGCAACCCUUAUCCUUGUUUGCCAGCACUUCGGGUGGGAACUCCAGGGAGACUGCCGGUGAUAAACCGGAGGAAGGUGGGGACGACGUCAAGUCAUCAUGGCCCUUACGAGUAGGGCUACACACGUGCUACAAUGGCGCAUACAGAGGGCGGCCAACUUGCGAAAGUGAGCGAAUCCCAAAAAGUGCGUCGUAGUCCGGAUUGGAGUCUGCAACUCGACUCCAUGAAGUCGGAAUCGCUAGUAAUCGUGGAUCAGAAUGCCACGGUGAAUACGUUCCCGGGCCUUGUACACACCGCCCGUCACACCAUGGGAGUGGGCUGCAAAAGAAGUGGGUAGUUUAACCUUCGGGAGGACGCUCACCACUUUGUGGUUCAUGACUGGGGUGAAGUCGUAACAAGGUAACCG
rnacentral:rRNA from 1 species